UUCUCCUACGGGGCGCAGCAGUGAGGAAUAUUGGUCAAUGGACGAGAGUCUGAACCAGCCAAGUAGCGUGAAGGAUGACUGCCCUAUGGGUUGUAAACUUCUUUUAUAUGGGAAUAAAAUGUUCCACGUGUGGGAUUUUGUAUGUACCAUAUGAAUAAGGAUCGGCUAACUCCGUGCCAGCAGCCGCGGUAAUACGGAGGAUGCGAGCGUUAUCCGGAUUUAUUGGGUUUAAAGGGUGCGUAGGCGGGAUGCCAAGUCAGCGGUAAACAUGCGGUGCUCAACGCCGUCGAGCCGUUGAAACUGGG
rnacentral:rRNA from 1 species